rnacentral:rRNA from 1 species
UACGAAGGUGGCAAGCGUUAUUCGGAUUUACUGGGCGUACAGGGAGCGUAGGCGGUUCGGUAAGCCCUCUGUGAAAUCUCCAGGCUUAACCUGGAAAAGUCGGGGGGGACUGCUGGGCUAGAGGACGGGAGAGGAGCGCGGAAUUCCCGGUGUAGCGGUGAAAUGCGUAGAGAUCGGGAGGAAGGCCGGUGGCGAAGGCGGCGCUCUGGAACGUUUCUGACGCUGAGGCUCGAAAGCGUGGGGAGCAAACAGG